rnacentral:rRNA from 1 species
AUUGAACGCUGGCGGCAGGCCUAACACAUGCAAGUCGAGCGAGCGGCGGACGGGUGAGUAAUGUGUAGGGACUGCCCGAUAGAGGGGGGUAACUACUGGAAACAGUGGCUAAUACCGCGUACUCUCGGAUAACACAUAUGGGAUUAGCUAGUAGGUGAGGGAAUGGCGCACCUAGGCGACGAUCCCUAGCUGGUCUGAGAGGAUGAUCAGCCACACUGGGACUGAGACACGGCCCAGACUCCUACGGAGGCAGCAGUGGGGAAUAUUGCACAAUGGGCGCAAGCCUGAUGCAGCCAUGCCGCGUGUAUGAAGAAGGCCCUAGGGUUGUAAAGUACUUUCAGUCGGGAGGCGUUACCGACAGAAGAAGCACCGGCUAACUCCGUGCCAGCAGCCGCGGUAAUAC